UGUGUGAUUAUAAGGUCUUGCCCCCCCCCCCCUUUUUUACACUGUACUCACACAGGAAGUAUAAAUACGUGAACAAAAGGGAUCCGAGAAGUGCAACCCUUCGAAAAUUGUUCAGACGGAGACCGCCCAAAUGAAAAACACAUGCUACUUCCCCUCUGCCUGAGCAAUUUGGCAUUCCGCGUACAAGUUCCCAGGAGGGGGGCUGGGCCUCUCCAGGCAGGAACUGGAGCCAGAGGCUUCCCCUGAUACUGGCUGGGAUAGAAGAACAUCAGGAAUGACUUUCAGUGCAGUAGUUCCUGUGGUGCUCGCAGAAGCCACGCGGCUUGGGUGCAAUCAAACUGCGGCCCAGCCUCAUCCCUGCAGGAAUCCAGAUGCAGGCCAAGUACAGCAGCACAAGGGACAUGCUGGAUGACGAUGGGGACACGGUCGUGAGUGUGCAUUCUCGAGCCUCGUCUCCAAGCCAGCAGCCAGAGGCUGGACGCAAAGGGCACCGGCCUCCCUCUUCAGUUUGGCGACCAGUGGCCCUGACCCUGCUGACUCUGUGUUUGGUGCUGCUGCUUGGCCUGUUGGCCCUGGGGCUUGCGUUUUUCCAGUUCUACCAGCUUUCCAACACUCAGCAAGACAGCAUUUCUAACAAGGAAGAAAGAUUGGCGAAUCUCUCCCGACAGCUGCAGUCUCUCCAGACAAAGAACAGGAAGCUUGCAGAAAUUCUGCAGCGCGUGGCUGAAAAACUGUGUCGUGAGCUCUAUAACAAAACUGGAGAACACAGAUGCAGCCCUUGUCCAGAAAAAUGGAAAUGGCAUGGGGACAAAUGCUACCGAUUCUGUAGAGACAGCAAGAGUUGGCAAGGCUGUGAAUAUUUCUGCAUUGCAGAGAACGCCACCAUGCUGAAGAUAAACACGCAGGAAGUGCUGGAGUUUGCCAUGCCUCAGAGCUACUCUGAGUUUUUCUACUCUUAUUGGACAGGGCUAUCCCGCAAUGGCAGCAGACAGGCGUGGCUAUGGACCGAUGGAACCCCGUAUUCCUCUGAACUGUUUGAGAUUAUAAUAGAUUUCACCAGCCUAAGAAGCAGGGACUGUGUGACCAUCCUCAAUGGGAAGGCUUUCUCAAAGGACUGCAAAGAGUUGAGGCGGUGUGCGUGUGAAAGACGGGCUGCAGCAGUGAAGCUUGAGAGCCUCCAUUAGCCUCUCUGAGCCAUUACGUGGAGGUGAUGGACUCUUCCGCCAUAAAGGUGAUGUCAAGCUCCCUUCAGGGAAAUUGAAGAUCAGAACAAAAGUCAAUUUCUUUAUGGGCACCUGUAAUAAUUUGGUUUCAGUUCCUUUUUUUCUCCCAUUGGAGCCAUGUUUGUACAACAAAGCAGCAAAAUGAUUUGAGCCAAGCAAGGUCAUUGCAAAGGAUAUUCGAGACGUUGGAAAAUGGGAAAAAAGGAGGAAAGGCAGUUUCUCUGACAGGUACAAGAAGCACUUUCCUGUUUCCUGCUCAAGAUCGCCAGCAUUUCUGAGCUUGGGUUCACGCAAAUGUUUAUGAGUCACAAAGAAGUCCUAUCUGCAUACCACCCACCAGUCGCAGACUUUCGUAAAGUUGUAAUCUACCUUCUUGACCUAGAGAUGCUUUCCAGCGUUCUUCCUUCUCAUCAUCUAAUAUCAUCUGCCUUUUUCCAUGUCUUCCUUAAUAUUUGGAGAAGUGAGAAACUUACUGAAGUAGAGGAAAUAAAGUGUCUCCAAUUUUGAUGUGAAUGUGCUACGGGUGAUGGCAGCAGGACUGAGAAGGAUGAAAACUUGGAAGCCAUGAAGCUACCCUUCAAUGACCUCAGCUUUGGUUCCAAUAAAAAGCCUGUGAAGCUAUCAUUGCUGGUUCUGUCUUCUGGAAAAACUCUGAGGUAUAAAAUAAAAGGAACAUCUGAAUUCCCUCAGGUUUCUAAUUUUUCUUGUAACAAUUCCCUCAGACACUUACAGGUCAGGGGGAGGAGCGGAGCCAUCUUGCCAAAGCCACGAUCUGCUGAGACCAUCCUGAGACAAUCCCACCCAGUAAUCAUAGCCACUUUUGAUCUUCCUCAGGCUGCCAGUGAUAAAGUCCUAGAAGCAACAAGACCUCAACAGUGAACUAGGGGGAAAACAGCAACAAACUAUGAUGAAAUAUAAAGUGUGACAUUUUGCCUAGAUGGAAAUUGAGAAAGAAUAAGACAGAGAUGGUUUUAAAAGAAGGGAUACAUUUCAUAGAUUUGUUUUUAUUGUCGUACGAUAGAUGGGGUCUUAAGGACUAUAAGGAAAAUAAGCAUCUGGCAAUAAAAUAAUCUUAACAGAUUCCGAGUUUGACAGUUAAUACAUGUCAAAACAAGGUGUGAUACUAAUGAGGAAGAGUAGAAAUAUCCUUGACAUCAUAGACCGCAUAGAUCAUUCUUUCCCAGUAUACUUCAAUACGAGAAAUAAUUUAGAAGAUUCCAGAGGCAACUUAACUGUAGGGGUAUUCUGUUAGAAAAAAACAUGACUAGCUUUUGUCACCAAAUUUGCACAGAAAAAAUAGUGGAAGCCUAUAACUGUAGUGAGUUCAAGUUGUCUUGGUUUCCUGCGUGUCCUUAACAUAUCGUUAAAUGGUUCUCUCAUUAUUCUUGGAAAAUUGAAAGUUAGCUAAUUAUUGAGUAUAGCAAGCAUACAUUUUUAAUGAGGUCAGAAAUGUGUCAACUCUGUAUUCUACUUCAUACAUAUUUCCAUAAAUAUGUAAAAUGAUUUCAGGGAAACACUGCUUGUUAAGAUGGUAGUAAACCAGACUAAACGUUUCAUUUAGCAAAUGCUUAUUUUCAUAGACCUCUCCAUUUCAUGACGUCACUUCCCUUUUUAUACUUCCGCUUUUCCUUGGUAAUUACAGAGCUGUGAUUGGUUGUUAUACUUCCCUACAGCAUUGAAAGCGAUGACUCUGAACCACACACAACUGUAAUAUACGUACAUCUUGGAGUGGAUCAACAAGUCAUAAAAUAGUAUUUCCUUUACCGCCUCGCCUUUUUGAUGAACAAAGGACAUACAGCUAACAUAUUCUCGUUGAUUUCUGGAUAGCUUCCUGCUUUUGUUUUGUUUGUCUAAUUAAAGGGAAAACAAACUUUGGUAAUUCCCACUCCGUCUCUUUGAAACCUUUGUUACGUACAACAAAUAUACUACUCUUGUAGAAUAUUAAGGAGUCCUGUCUUCUUAGAAUCAGUCCUUUCUUUUAACGUAUCAGGGUAUUUUCAGAAUGAUAGGAAACCACGAGAUAGUGUUUACCAUUUCCUCUUUGCUGU